rnacentral:rRNA from 1 species
UACGUAGGUGGCAAGCGUUGUCCGGAUUUAUUGGGUUUAAAGGGUGCGUAGGCGGCCCUGUAAGUCAGUGCUGAAAUAUCCCAGCUUAACUGGGAGGGUGGCAUUGAUACUGCGGGGCUAGAGUACAGAUGAGGUAGGCGGAAUUGACGGUGUAGCGGUGAAAUGCUUAGAUAUGACAUAGAACACCGAUAGCGAAGGCAGCUUGCUACACGAGUAUUGACACUGAGGCACGAAAGCGUGGGGAUCAAACAGG